rnacentral:tRNA from 1 species
CCCUGGUUAGCGCAGUUGGUAGAGCGCUUCACUAGAAAUGGAGAGGUCCCGGAUUCGAUACCCGGACGAGGCA